rnacentral:rRNA from 1 species
GGCAGUGGCAAUAGCACUUUGAAUGUAUCAGUUCCCAAUGGAUCACUGAAGUUAAGCAACGUUGUACGUGGUUAGUAUCGGGAUAGGUGACCAUUUGGGAAAUCUCGUGCUAGCCU